rnacentral:rRNA from 1 species
UUACGGGAGGCAGCAGUAGGGAAUAUUGGGCAAUGGGCGAAAGCCUGACCCAGCAACGCCGCGUGCACGAUGAAGGUCUUCGGAUCGUAAAGUGCUUUUCUGAGAGAUGAGAAAGGACAGUAUCUCAGGAAUAAGUCUCGGCUAACUACGUGCCAGCAGCCGCGGUAACACGUAGGAGGCAAGCGUUAUCCGGAUUUACUGGGCGUAAAGCGCGUGCAGGUGGUUCGGUAAGUUGGAUGUGAAAGCUCCUGGCUCAACUGGGAGAGGUCGUUCAAUACUACCGGGCUUGAGAAUAGUAGAGGAAGAUGGAAUUCCCGGUGUAGUGGUGAAAUGCGUAGAUAUCGGGAGGAACACCAGUGGCGAAAGCGGUCUUCUGGACUAUUUCUGACACUCAGACGCGAAAGCUAGGGUAGCAAACGGGAUUAGAUACCCCGGU